rnacentral:piRNA from 1 species
UGACACCCGUGUUGACCAUUACAGUGU